UAUCCGCUGCGUCAACGCGAGAGUGGACGCAACUAAGUGGAAGACGCUACCCUUCCGUCUUUCCGGGUCUUCCAAGCUUCGACCCCGGCUCCUGUGGACCCUGGGCCCGAGGGAGAGCCAGAAAAAAAUCCUCUGAUCGAGAGCUGAAAUGCAUAAAAGCAGCUGGCAGAGUAGAAGACACAGGAGAAGGGGCCACCGACACAACGCUGGGUUCAGGCAGCAUGGUUCUAACGAGAGGAAUGAUGCAGGGGCGCAGCAGAGCCCGCAGGCUUCCAGCGAUGGCCAUGGUGAGGUCCCCUCAACCUCCAGCCCAGCUGGCAGCUCUUCUGUGCCAGAUCUACCAGGUUAUUACUUUGAUCCUGAAAAGAAGCGCUACUUCCGCUUGCUGCCUGGACAUAACAACUGCAACCCUCUCACGAAGGAGAGUAUCCGGCAGAAGGAAAUGGAGCUCAAGAGGCUGAAGCUGCUAGAGGAAGAGAAACGGCAGGGGAAGAAAAUAGCCAGGUUGGGAUUUAAUACAUCUUCCUUACUCCAGAAAAGCAAGCUGGGUUUUCUCAAUGCCACCAGUUACUGCCGUUUAGCCCAUGAGCUGCGAGUGAGCUGCAUGCAGAGGAAAAAGGUCCAAAUUCAGAGCUCGGAUCCCUCUGCUUUGGCAAGUGACCAGUUUAACCUGAUAAUGGCGGAUACCAACAGUGAGCGGCUCUUCACUGUGAAUGAUGUCAAAGUCGGGGGCUCCAAGUACGGCAUCAUCAGCCUGCACGGCCUGAAGACCCCCACGUUCAGGGUGCACAUGCAUGAAAACCUCUAUUUCACCAAUCGGAAGGUUCUACGUGGUGGGCAGGGAGCUUCCUUCUCCUCAGAAGUUUGUUCCAGCCCUGCUCAAGGAGUGAGACCUGAAGGAAGCAGUCAGGUGUCUGUAUUCUGUAAGAGAGCGCCUGUUUCUAAGUUGGCAGCCCGACCAGUCUCCCCGUCUUGCUGUGUGUUUCCUCACCAGGUGAACGCCAUGUGUUGGGCCUCGCUGAAUCACCUGGACUCCCACGUUCUGCUGUGCCUCAUGGGAAUUGCAGAGACUCCAGGCUGUGUCACCCUGCUCCCCACAUCGCUGUUUGUCAGUCAUCAUGCAGCAGGAGACCGGCCUGGCAUGCUCUGCAGUUUCCGGAUCCCCGGGGCCUGGUCCUGUGCGUGGUCCCUGAACAUCCAGGCAAACAACUGCUUUAGUACAGGCUUGUCUCGGCGAGUCCUGGUGACCAGCGUGGUGACGGGACACCGGCAGUCGUUUGGGACCAGCAGUGACGUCUUGACCCAGCAGUUUGCUCUCACGGCUCCUUUGCUGUUUAACGGCUGUCGUUCUGGCGAAAUCUUUGCCAUUGAUCUGCGUUGUCAAAAUCAGGGCAAGGGCUGGAAGGCCACCCGCCUGUUCCACGACUCUGCAGUGACCUCCGUGCAGAUCCUCCAGGAAGAGCAGUGCCUGAUGGCGUCCGACAUGGCCGGGACGAUCAAGCUGUGGGACCUGAGGACCACUAAGUGCAUCCGGCAGUACGAAGGGCACGUGAACGAGUAUGCCCACCUGCCCCUACACGUGCACGAGGAGGAAGAAAUCGUGGUGGCAGUGGGCCAGGACUGCUACACGAGAAUCUGGAGCCUCCACGAUGGCCAACUACUCAGAACCAUACCCUCCCCAUACCCCACCUCCAAGGCCGACAUUCCCAGCGUGGCCUUCUCUUCUCGGCUUGGGGGCGCCCGGGGAGCGCCAGGGUUGCUCAUGGCCGUCCGGCAGGACCUUUACUGCUUCUCCUACAGCUGACUCUGCAGGGUGCGGCCUGGAGGGAUGUGAAUGUGACUCAAGGGAGCUAAGCCCUGGCAUGCUGACCUGCAUGGAGGACCCAGGAAAUAGCUGCAUGAUUGAAAGGUGACUUCUAGACCCAUCUCCCUGCUUGCUCCUACCACCCACCCACCUGCACUCUUGGCCUCAUCUGAAUUAAAGCAGCCGCCGCAAAACCAAGAUGAACACUGGGGGUGUAGGACAAAAAAAAAAAAAGAGAACUUGGUUAUUUUGACACCGGGUUACCUUCUCCUCUCCUGGUCUGGCUAGUUUAAGAAAGCGAUUUCGGAAGCCUUUUCUGCAUUUUUCCUGUGUGGUCCAGCAGACACCACGCUCGGGGCGGCCCCACACAAUCGUACAGGAGACAGUGGAGAACAAUUGUUCACCAGGAGCUGGGCAGACAGCAAGGCAGGGCAGAGGAUCGGCACCAAAGGGACAGAUACAAAAGGAGAAGAGUCUCCUCCCAGUGUUUCCAUAGGUCACUAGUAACCUAAUCUCUUCUCCUGGGAGAGAGCAUUCCCGGGGAAUAAACUGAGAUAACAUACACAUCUCACUUGGCUUUUGCUCUGAAAAGCCACCAGCUUUCAUCAACUAGGGGACUUUCCUGGUGGCUCAGACAGUAAAGCGUCUGCCUACAAUGCGGGAGACCCGGGUUCAAUCCCUGGGUCAGGAAGAUCUCCUGGAGAAGGAAAUGGUCACCCACUCCAGUAUUCUUGCCUGGAAAAUCCCGUGGACAGUGGAACCUGGUAGGCUUCAGUCCAUGGAGUCGCAAAGAGUCAGACACGACUGAGCAACUUCACUUUCUUUCACUUUUCAUCAACUAGAAAGAGGUAGCAAGAUAAUACUCAUGAACUUAAAGGAAAGAGGCCAGAGUCCAUAUUCCGCAGGAAGAUUCCUUUAUAACGGCGAAUUUAAUAAUACACAGUACUAGAGCAGGCCUCAGUCACUGGGCCAUGGGAGGCGGGAAGGAAGCAGGUCUGAGAGGGACCAACACAUUUCCAGGGCUCACGUCACAGGGACACGCCAAGAGUGACCACCACGUACCUCCCUGAACUUGGCCCACCCCCCAGUUCAGUCAAGAACUGUGUCACUUCAAAUUCUUUUUCACCAUUGACGAUAAAAUCCACCAUGAUGACAGGAUUUCAGCACAACGGUCUCCUUCCAGUCACGACAAAUACAGAUGUCCCAGCUCUUGAGAAACAAAAAGUUCAUCUGACUUCUCUCGCCAGGACUGGAGAAUUUUUUCAUAAUGAUCCGCUGAAAUGUUUGUAUAUACUUGGAAAUAAACCACUAACAGUCCA